rnacentral:rRNA from 1 species
UGCAGUCGAGCGGUAACAUUUCUAGCUUGCUAGAAGAUGACGAGCGGCGGACGGGUGAGUAACGCGUAGGAAUCUGCCUAGUAGAGGGGGACAACAUGUGGAAACGCAUGCUAAUACCGCAUACGCCCUUAGGGGGAAAGGAGGGGACUUUUCGGAGCCUUCCGCUAUUAGAUGAGCCUGCGUAAGAUUAGCUAGUUGGUGGGGUAAAGGCUCACCAAGGCGACGAUCUUUAACUGGUCUGAGAGGAUGACCAGUCACACUGGGACUGAGACACGGCCCAGACUCCUACGGGAGGCAGCAGUGGGGAAUAUUGGACAAUGGGCGAAAGCCUGAUCCAGCCAUGCCGCGUGUGUGAAGAAGGCCUUAGGGUUGUAAAGCACUUUCAGGAGUGAGGAAGGGUGCUUGGUUAAUACCCAAGUAUUUUGACGUUAGCUCCAGAAGAAGCACCGGCUAACUCUGUGCCAGCAGCCGCGGUAAUACAGAGGGUGCAAGCGUUAAUCGGAAUUACUGGGCGUAAAGCGCGCGUAGGUGGUUUGUUAAGUCUGAUGUGAAAUC